GGAUUAGUAGGCGAACGUUUGAGUAACACGUUGAGUAACCUGCCCUGGACUCUGGGAUAAGCGUUGGAAACGACGUCUAAUACCGGAUAGGACCCUGUACCGCAUGGUGUGGGGUGGAAAGUUUUUCGGUUUGGGAUGGACUCGCGGCCUAUCAGCUUGUUGGUGAGGUAAUGGCUCACCAAGGCGUCGACGGGUAGCCGGCCUGAGAGGGUGACCGGCCACACUGGGACUGAGACACGGCCCAGACUCCUACGGGAGGCAGCAGUGGGGAAUAUUGCACAAUGGGCGAAAGCCUGAUGCAGCAACGCCGCGUGCGGGAUGACGGCCUUCGGGUUGUAAACCGCUUUUAGUAAGGAAGAAGCCUUCGGGUGACGGUACUUGCAGAAAAAGGACCGGCUAACUACGUGCCAGCAGCCGCGGUAAUACGUAGGGUCCGAGCGUUGUCCGGAAUUAUUGGGCGUAAAGAGCUCGUAGGCGGUUUGUCGCGUCUGCUGUGAAAACUAGAGGCUCAACCUCUAGCCUGCAGUGGGUACGGGCAGACUUGAGUGGUGUAGGGGAGACUGGAAUUCCUGGUGUAGCGGUGGAAUGCGCAGAUAUCAGGAGGAACACCGAUGGCGAAGGCAGGUCUCUGGGCACUUACUGACGCUGAGGAGCGAAAGCGUGGGGAGCGAACAGGAUUAGAUACCCUGGUAGUCCACGCCGUAAACGUUGGGCGCUAGAUGUGGGGACCUUUCCACGGUUUCCGUGUCGUAGCUAACGCAUUAAGCGCCCCGCCUGGGGAAGUACGGCCGCAAGGCUAAAACUCAAAGGAAUUGACGGGGGCCCCCCACAAGCGGCGGAACAUGCGGAUUA
rnacentral:rRNA from 1 species